rfam:Triticum aestivum genome assembly, contig: Triticum_aestivum_CS42_TGACv1_scaffold_145894_2BS
CUCAUACUCCCUUUGUCCAAAAAUACGUGUCAAAAUGGAUAAAAGAGGAUGUAUGUAGACGUAUUUAGUUCUAGAUACAUAUCUUUUUAUCCAUUUUGAUGGCAAGUAUUUUCGGACGGAGGGAGUAUGUC